GCUAAAGGGCAUAGGCAAGGACAAUAGACUUGGAAUUUGGAAGAAUUCAUCUCUGCUGAAGAAUUCCCAGAGCACUCAUGAAAACAGCAGGUUGCCUAACUCACCAGAGAACACUAAACCCAAAGUAAACCCUCCAUUGGCGCGCAAGCAAGUGAUUAGAGGAGGGUGUCUCAGCCGUGAGGGCAAGAGCCUAGAAUCUCCAUGUGAGGGACCCUGAAAUUAACGUUAACUCAGAGAGUGAUUUCUUCUUGCUUCUAGAAACAAUUUGCUCUGACAGCUAUCUCAUUCGGGAGUGAAACGUAUGUUUUUGGCUGGAACAGUCCAUCUCCUGCCUCUGGAUUUCAGCCGGAAGCUAAGGGAGCUACACAAGUCCAGGGAGUUCUUCAGCUCUGGCAGAGCCGUAAGGACUUUCCUGUGGAGAAAUCACAGAGCAGCAACUGCACACGUUUCCCCCUGCUCUUUAAAUAAGCCGUCCUCCAUUUUCUGGGAUCGUUCCCAAAUACAAUAUACUAUAAUUGUAUAUCUUUUUUUCCUGCAAAGGUAAUUCAUUUUAAAAUUCCUUGAAUGCUCCUUAAUUUUAAUAUCUUUUCAAAUACCUUUCUACCAAUAAAUUCAGUCAUUCAUUUAAAAUAUUAUUAUGGGAUUACGUUUUGUGAUUUUAGCCUGGAAAAUACGGUCAAUAUACUACUAGUUCAUGACCUUCAUUUGGCCACCCAGUUGUGUCCUGAGAAGCCUCCCUCUGGAGAAACUACUUUAAUUGGUCACCACUGAAUUCAAGUGUGCUAUUGACAUUACUCUUAUCUGAUACAAAGUAAACAUUUUCAGCCCUUGAUUUUCUGUUGUCUCUCUUUAUUUAACU
ensembl:lincRNA Gm29663 predicted gene 29663